UACGAAGGGGGCUAGCGUUGCUCGGAAUUACUGGGCGUAAAGGGUUCGUAGGCGGUGCGGCAAGUCGGGAGUGAAAUCUCUGGGCUUAACUCGGAGGCUGCUUCCGAAACUGCCGUGCUCGAGUGCGGGAGAGGCGAGUGGAAUUGCAGGUGUAGCGGUGAAAUGCGUAGAUAUCUGCAGGAACACCCGUGGCGAAGGCGGCUCGCUGGACCGCAACUGACGCUGAGGAACGAAAGCUAGGGGAGCAAACAGG
rnacentral:rRNA from 1 species